AGACCCGAAACCCGGUGAUCUAGCCAUGGGCAGGUUGAAGGUUGGGUAACACUAACUGGAGGACCGAACCGACUAAUGUUGAAAAAUUAGCGGAUGACCUGUGGCUGGGGGUGAAAGGCCAAUCAAACCGGGAGAUAGCUGGUUCUCCCCGAAAGCUAUUUAGGUAGCGCCUCGUGAAUUCAUCUCCGGGGGUAGAGCACUGUUUCGGCUAGGGGGCCAUCCCGGCUUACCAACCCGAUGCAAACUGCGAAUACCGGAGAAUGUUAUCACGGGAGACACACGGCGGGUGCUAACGUCCGUCGUGAAGAGGGAAACAACCCAGACCGCCAGCUAAGGUCCCAAAGUCAUGGUUAAGUGGGAAACGAUGUGGGAAGGCCCAGACAGCCAGGAUGUUGGCUUAGAAGCAGCCAUCAUUUAAAGAAAGCGUAAUAGCUCACUGGUCGAGUCGGCCUGCGCGGAAGAUGUAACGGGGCUAAACCAUGCACCGAAGCUGCGGCAGCGACACUCAGGUGUUGUUGGGUAGGGGAGCGUUCUGUAAGCCUGUGAAGGUGGCCUGUGAGGGUUGCUGGAGGUAUCAGAAGUGCGAAUGCUGACAUAAGUAACGAUAAAGCGGGUGAAAAGCCCGCUCGCCGGAAGACCAAGGGUUCCUGUCCAACGUUAAUCGGGGCAGGGUGAGUCGACCCCUAAGGCGAGGCCGAAAGGCGUAGUCGAUGGGAAACGGGUUAAUAUUCCCGUACUUGGUGUUACUGCGAAGGGGGGACGGAGAAGGCUAUGUUGGCCGGGCGACGGUUGUCCCGGUUUAAGCGUGUAGGUGUGUGUUCCAGGUAAAUCCGGUUCACUUUAACACUGAGGCGUGACGACGAGGCACUACGGUGCUGAAGCAACAAAUGCCCUGCUUCCAGGAAAAGCCUCUAAGCAUCAGGUAACAUCAAAUCGUACCCCAAACCGACACAGGUGGUCAGGUAGAGAAUACCAAGGCGCUUGAGAGAACUCGGGUGAAGGAACUAGGCAAAAUGGUGCCGUAACUUCGGGAGAAGGCACGCUGACACGUAGGUGAAGUGAUUUACUCACGGAGCUGAAGUCAGUCGAAGAUACCAGCUGGCUGCAAC
rnacentral:rRNA from 1 species